GGGCCCGCACAAGCGGUGGAGCAUGUGGUUUAAUUCGAUGAUACGCGAGGAACCUUACCAGGGUUUAAAUGCAGAACGACAGGGGUGGAAACACCCCCUUCUUCGGACGGACUGCAAGGUGCUGCAUGGUUGUCGUCAGCUCGUGCUGUGAAGUGUCGGGUUAAGUCCCAUAACGAGCGCAACCCCCAUUUCUAGUUGCCAGCGGUUCGGCCGGGGACUCUAGAGAAACUGCCAGCGUAAGCUGUGAGGAAGGUGGGGAUGACGUCAAAUCAUCACGGCCCUUACAUCCUGGGCCACACACGUGCUACAAUGGUAGGGACAACAGGUUGCCAACCCGCGAGGGUGAGCCAAUCCCAAAACCCUAUCUCAGUUCGGAUCGGAGUCUGCAACUCGACUCCGUGAAGCCGGAAUCACUAGUAAUCGUGGAUC
rnacentral:rRNA from 1 species